rnacentral:rRNA from 1 species
GACGAACGCUGGCGGCGUGCUUAACACAUGCAAGUCGAACGGAAAGGCCCUGCUUGCAGGGUACUCGAGUGGCGAACGGGUGAGUAACACGUGGGUGAUCUGCCCUGCACUUCGGGAUAAGCCUGGGAAACUGGGUCUAAUACCGGAUAGGAGCCAUUUUUAGUGUGAUGGUUGGAAAGUUUUUUCGGUGUAGGAUGAGCUCGCGGCCUAUCAGCUUGUUGGUGGGGUAAUGGCCUACCAAGGCGGCGACGGGUAGCCGGCCUGAGAGGGUGGACGGCCACAUUGGGACUGAGAUACGGCCCAGACUCCUACGGGAGGCAGCAGUGGGGAAUAUUGCACAAUGGGCGCAAGCCUGAUGCAGCGACGCCGCGUGGGGGAUGACGGCCUUCGGGUUGUAAACUCCUUUCGCUAGGGACGAAGCUUUUGGGACGGUACCUAGAUAAGAAGCACCGGCUAACUACGU